CAGCCGCCGCGGUAAUACGAAGGGUGCAAGCGUUACUCGGAAUUACUGGGCGUAAAGCGUGCGUAGGUGGUGGUUUAAGUCCGUUGUGAAAGCCCUGGGCUCAACCUGGGAAUUGCAGUGGAUACUGGACGGCUAGAGUGUGUCAGAGGAUGGUGGAAUUCCCGGUGUAGCGGUGAAAUGCGUAGAGAUCGGGAGGAACAUCAGUGGCGAAGGCGGCCAUCUGGGACAACACUGACGCUGAAGCACGAAAGCGUGGGGAGCAAACAGGAUUAGAUACCCCCGUAGUCCCUGUCUCUUAUAC
rnacentral:rRNA from 1 species